rnacentral:rRNA from 1 species
GAUGAACGCUGGCGGUAUGCUUAACACAUGCAAGUCGAACGGACUCUUCGGAGUUAGUGGCGGACGGGUGAGUAACGCGUGAGAAUCUGGCUUUGGGUUCGGGACAACCACUGGAAACGGUGGCUAAUACCGGAUGUGCCGAGAGGUAAAAGAGAAGUUGCCUGAAGAUGAGCUCGCGUCUGAUUAGCUAGUUGGUGAGGUAAAGGCUCACCAAGGCAGCGAUCAGUAGCUGGUCUGAGAGGAUGACCAGCCACACUGGGACUGAGACACGGCCCAGACUCCUACGGGAGGCAGCAGUGGGGAAUUUUCCGCAAUGGGCGGAAGCCUGACGGAGCAAUACCGCGUGAGGGAAGAAGGCUCUUGGGUUGUAAACCUCUUUUCUUAGGGAAGAACAAAAUGACGGUACCUAAGGAAUCAGCAUCGGCUAACUCCGUG